GAAGUCGACGACGUUGAUAGGCCGGGUGUGUAAGCGCAGCGAUGCGUUGAGCUAACCGGUACUAAUGAACCGUGAGGCUUAACCUUAC
rnacentral:rRNA from 1 species